rnacentral:lncRNA from 1 species
GGUAUCAGGGUGAAGGAUAAGCUGGGCAGCAAGUUUUGCCGUAAGGACUUUGUGAGACCAAAAGAGUGAAUGAAUACCUAAGCCCUCUUUAAACUUAGGAGAACAAACAGUAGACCAAGAUAGGAGAUGCACACCACAAGUAUUAGGGGAAUGACCCUACAAAAAAGCACAAAAAUAGCGAUCUAGCUUGUGAAAAGAAA